rnacentral:rRNA from 1 species
AAAGGCCACUUCGGUGGUACUCGAGCGGCGAACGGGUGAGUAACACGUGAGUAAUCUGCCUCUGGCUUCGGGAUAGCCACCGGAAACGGUGAUUAAUACCGGAUAUGACAUCUUCACGCAUGUGAUGGGUGUGGAAAGUUUUUUCGGCCAGGGAUGUGCUCGCGGCCUAUCAGCUUGUUGGUGGGGUAAUGGCCUACCAAGGCUUCGACGGGUAGCCGGCCUGAGAGGGUGACCGGCCACACUGGGACUGAGACACGGCCCAGACUCCUACGGGAGGCAGCAGUGGGGAAUAUUGGACAAUGGGCGGAAGCCUGAUCCAGCAACGCCGCGUGAGGGAUGACGGCCUUCGGGUUGUAAACCUCUUUCAGCACAGACGAAGCGCAAGUGACGGUAUGUGCAGAAGAAGGACCGGCCAACUACGUGCCAGCAGCCGCGGUAAUACGUAGGGUCCGAGCGUUGUCCGGAAUUAUUGGGCGUAAAGGGCUCGUAGGCGGUUUGUCGCGUCGGGAGUGAAAACACCGGGCUUAACUCGGUGCUUGCUUUCGAUACGGGCAGACUAGAGGCAUUCAGGGGAGAACGGAAUUCCUGGUGUAGCGGUGAAAUGCGCAGAUAUCAGGAGGAACACCGGUGGCGAAGGCGGUUCUCUGGGAAUGUCCUGACGCUGAGGAGCGAAAGUGUGGGGAGCGAACAGGAUUAGAUACCCUGGUAGUCCACACCGUAAACGUUGGGCGCUAGGUGUGGGAUCCAUUCCACGGGUUCCGUGCCGCAGCUAACGCAUUAAGCGCCCCG